UACGAAGGGGGCUAGCGUUGCUCGGAAUCACUGGGCGUAAAGCGCACGUAGGCGGAUUGCUAAGUCAGGGGUGAAAUCCUGGAGCUCAACUCCAGAACUGCCCUUGAUACUGGCGGUCUCGAGUCCGGGAGAGGUGAGUGGAACUGCGAGUGUAGAGGUGAAAAUUCGUAGAUAUUCGCAAGAACACCAGUGGCGAAGGCGGCUCACUGGCCCGGUACUGACGCUGAGGUGCGAAAGCGUGGGGAGCAAACAGGG
rnacentral:rRNA from 1 species